rnacentral:rRNA from 1 species
GAUGAACGCUAGCGGAAGGCUUAACACAUGCAAGUCGAGGGGUAAAGAGUAGCAAUACUUUGAGACCGGCGGACGGGUGCGUAACGCGUAUGCAACUUACCUUAAGCAGGGGGAUAGGUCCCGGAAACGGGAAUUAAAACCGCAUACUACAUUUAAUUCGCAUGGGAUAAAUGUAAAAGCUGAGGUGGCUUAAGAUGGGCAUGCGUCUGAUUAGCUUGUUGGUAGGGUAACGGCCUACCAAGGCGACGAUCAGUAGGGGUUCUGAGAGGAUACACCCCCCACACUGGUACUGAGACACGGACCAGACUCCUACGGGAGGCUG